UUGACCUCAAAUCGGGUGAGACUACCCGCUGAACUUAAGCAUAUCAUAGCGGAGGAAAGAACUAACAAGGAUCCCCUAGUAACUGCGAGU
rnacentral:rRNA from 1 species